rnacentral:ncRNA from 1 species
GAAAGCCGUAUGCUUUGGAAGAAGCUUGUACAGUUUGGGAAGGGGUUUUUUGAGAGAAAAGAAGAAUCUACUUCAAU